rnacentral:sRNA from 1 species
UAUUGUUGCACCAUGAUUCAGCACCAAG